GGGCGUAUCGCCUAACGGUAAGGCAACGGUCUCCAAAACCGUCGAUGUUGGUUCAACUCCAGCUGCGCACC
rnacentral:tRNA from 1 species